rnacentral:rRNA from 1 species
CAGUCGCCGCGGUAAUACGUAGGGUGCAAGCGUUAAUCGGAAUUACUGGGCGUAAAGCGUGCGUAGGUGGUGGUUUAAGUCCGUUGUGAAAGCCCUGGGCUCAACCUGGGAAUUGCAGUGGAUACUGGAUCACUAGAGUGUGGUAGAGGAUAGUGGAAUUUCCGGUGUAGCAGUGAAAUGCGUAGAGAUCGGAAGGAACAUCUGUGGCGAAGGCGACUAUCUGGGCCAACACUGACACUGAGGCACGAAAGCGUGGGGAGCAAACAGGAUUAGAUACCCCGGUAGUCCCUGUCUCUUAUAC